rnacentral:rRNA from 1 species
AGAGCUUGCUCUCUGGGUGACGAGCGGCGGACGGGUGAGUAAUGUCUGGGAAACUGCCUGAUGGAGGGGGAUAACUACUGGAAACGGUAGCUAAUACCGCAUAACGUCUACGGACCAAAGUGGGGGACCUUCGGGCCUCACGCCAUCAGAUGUGCCCAGAUGGGAUUAGCUAGUAGGUGGGGUAAUGGCUCACCUAGGCGACGAUCCCUAGCUGGUCUGAGAGGAUGACCAGCCACACUGGAACUGAGACACGGUCCAGACUCCUACGGGAGGCAGCAGUGGGGAAUAUUGCACAAUGGGCGCAAGCCUGAUGCAGCCAUGCCGCGUGUGUGAAGAAGGCCUUAGGGUUGUAAAGCACUUUCAGCGAGGAGGAAGGGUUCAGUGUUAAUAGCACUGUGCAUUGACGUUACUCGCAGAAGAAGCACCGGCUAACUCCGUGCCAGCAGCCGCGGUAAUACGGAGGGUGCAAGCGUUAAUCGGAAUUACUGGGCGUAAAGCGCACGCAGGCGGUUUGUUAAGUCAGAUGUGAAAUCCCCGCGCUUAACGUGGGAACUGCAUUUGAAACUGGCAAGCUAGAGUCUUGUAGAGGGGGGUAGAAUUCCAGGUGUAGCGGUGAAAUGCGUAGAGAUCUGGAGGAAUACCGGUGGCGAAGGCGGCCCCCUGGACAAAGACUGACGCUCAGGUGCGAAAGCGUGGGGAGCAGACAGGAUUAGAUACCCUGGUAGUCCACGCUGUAAACGAUGUCGAUUUGGAGGUUGUGCCCUUGAGGCGUGGCUUCCGGAGCUAACGCGUUAAAUCGACCGCCUGGGGAGUACGGCCGCAAGGUUAAAACUCAAAUGAAUUGACGGGGGCCCGCACAAGCGGUGGAGCAUGUGGUUUAAUUCGAUGCAACGCGAAGAACCUUACCUACUCUUGACAUCCAGAGAAUUCGCUAGAGAUAGCUUAGUGCCUUCGGGAACUCUGAGACAGGUGCUGCAUGGCUGUCGUCAGCUCGUGUUGUGAAAUGUUGGGUUAAGUCCCGCAACGAGCGCAACCCUUAUCCUUUGUUGCCAGCGAUUCGGUCGGGAACUCAAAGGAGACUGCCGGUGAUAAACCGGAGGAAGGUGGGGAUGACGUCAAGUCAUCAUGGCCCUUACGAGUAGGGCUACACACGUGCUACAAUGGCGUAUACAAAGAGAAGCGAACUCGCGAGAGCAAGCGGACCUCAUAAAGUACGUCGUAGUCCGGAUUGGAGUCUGCAACUCGACUCCAUGAAGUCGGAAUCGCUAGUAAUCGUAGAUCAGAAUGCUACGGUGAAUACGUUCCCGGGCCUUGUACACACCGCCCGUCACACCAUGGGAGUGGGUUGCAAAAGAAGUAGGUAGCUUAACCUUCGGGAGGGC